CCCAGACCUGGCGCUGUCUACGGUGGUGGACGUGAUCGCACUAGGCCGAGCGAGGAUGAAGCACAACCCGAUUAUGGACGCCAUAGGCCUUCUUACGGUGGAGAAGAAGAAGAGUCGGGCUACCGCAAGCCAAGACCUGCAUACGGUGAAGAAGAAGAAGAGUCGGGCUACCGCAAGCCAAGACCCUCAUACGGCGAAGAAGAAUCCGAGGAAGGGGGAUACCGCAAGUCCAGACCUUCCUACGGCGAGGAAGAGUCCGAGGAGGGAGGAUACCGCAAAUCGAGACCCUCAUAUGGCGAGGAAGAGUCCGAGGAGGGAGGAUACCGCAAAUCCAGACCCUCAUAUGGCGAGGAAGAGUCCGAGGAGGGAGGAUACCGCAAAUCCAGACCCUCAUAUGGCGAGGAAGAGUCCGAGGAGGGAGGAUACCGCAAGCCGAAACCUAAAUACGGCGACGACGAGGAGGUGUCCGAUUACCGUAGGUCAGGAUACGGUGAAGAAGAAGAGUCUGGUUAUCGCGAACCGAAGC
rnacentral:lncRNA from 1 species